UUCCGGUUGAUCCUGCCGGACCCCACUGCUAUCGGGAUGGGACUAAGUACAUGCUAGUCAAGCGCCUUCCAGCCAUGUGGGAGGUGCGGCGCACAGCUCAGUAACACGUGGCUAACCUGCCCUUGGGACGGGACCAACCCCGGGAAACUGGGGCUAAUCCCCGAUAGGUGAAGAACUCUGGAAUGAGUCUUUGCCCAAAGGGCGUAUAGAUCAUGCUUCUAUGCGUUGCCCAAGGAUGGGGCCGCGACCGAUCAGGUUGUUGGUGAGGUAAUGGCCCACCAAGCCUAUAACCGGUGCGGGCCGUGAGAGCGGGAGCCCGGAGAUGGGCACUGAGACAAGGGCCCAGGUCCUACGGGGCGCAGCAGUCGCGAAACCUUUGCAAUACACGAAAGUGUGACAGGGNUCAUCCCGAGUGCCGACCGCUGAGGUUGGCUUUUACCCAGUCUAGAAAGCUGGGGGAAUAAGGAGAGGGCAAGUCUGGUGUCAACCGCCGCGGGUAAUACCAGCUCUCCGAGUGGCGUGGACGUUUAUUGGGCCUAAAGCAUCCGUAGCUGGCUGAACAAGUCCCCUGUUAAACCCACCGAUUUAAUCGUUGGCUUGCGGGGGAUACUGCUCGGCUAGGGGACGAGAGAGGCAGACGGUAUUCCCGGGGUAGGGGUGAAAUCCUAUAAUCCCGAGAAGACCACCAGUGGCGAAGGCUGUCUGCUAGAACGCGCCCGACGGUGAGGGAUGAAAGCUGGGGGAGCGAACCGGAUUAGAUACCCGGGUAGUCCCAGCUGUAAACGAUGCAGACUAGGUGUUUGGACGGCCACGUGCCGUUCUAGUGCCGCAGGGAAGCUGUUAAGUCUGCCGCCUGGGGAGUACGAUCGCAAGAUUGAAACUUAAAGGAAUUGGCGGGGGAGCACCACAAGGGGUGAAGCUGCGG
rnacentral:rRNA from 1 species